rnacentral:lncRNA from 1 species
CCUCCCCCCGACUCGGGAACGCGAGCGCGAGCUCGGUAGAUGCUACGUUAGUUCAGUCACGCAGCACUGCAGGUCUCGCCAAUGGCCGCUGCGCCUGCGCGUCUCGUCAAGCGGCUGCCCGGAAGGCGGGGAAUCUGAGGGGCUGGGGUUUUUCCAUUGCCACAAUGAAUAACUGAAACU